UGGAACAGGCAUGAUGGCUUUCU
rnacentral:piRNA from 1 species